AUCCCUACGGGAGGCAGCAGUGAGGAAUAUUGGUCAAUGGGCGGGAGCCUGAACCAGCCAAGUCGCGUGAGGGAAGACGGUCCUAUGGAUUGUAAACCUCUUUUGUCGGGGAGCAAAGAGAUCACGUGUGGUCAAAAGCGAGAGUACCCGAAGAAAAAGCAUCGGCUAACUCCGUGCCAGCAGCCGCGGUAAUACGGAGGAUGCGAGCGUUAUCCGGAUUUAUUGGGUUUAAAGGGUGCGUAGGCGGGACGGUAAGUCGGCGGUCAAAGCCCGGGGCUCAACCCCGGCCCGCCGUUGAAACUGGG
rnacentral:rRNA from 1 species